GUUUGCCAUUUCCAGUUUCCAGUAAUGGGAACGAUUACUUGAUCUGGACAGUUUCAGCUGAAGAUUUGCAAAAACGUACAAAUUUUAAUGGCAAAAAUUUAUUAGUUUCCAUAAAACAAAUUUUAAAAAAACUGUUUUGGGGACCUGAUAGCAAAUUAUCUCUGAUGAUGAAUAUUGUUUUAUUUUGGAAUUAAGUGUCUGUUCUUCAGGAACGAGAUGUAUCUUGCUCUUCUGGUGAUUUUCUUGCAGUGUUCAGGAGUUUACACUCAGGAAAGAGUUUUUACCUUCAACAGUGUUGAAAUCAGGGUUGAGCCAUCUGUCAAAGUGAAGAAUGGAGCUCCUAUGUCAAUUAUAUGCCGUGCUGAUAUUAGCAAAAGUGCCAAUUUCCACCUGCAGCAUAAUAUUACAAUUUUUAAGGAUGGCAAGCUUGUAUUCAUGAUUGUAUCAGACAAAGGAGUUGCACGAUAUGAAGUACCCGUGGCUAGAUCUUCAGAUACAGGAGACUAUGAAUGUACUGUGAAAGCAGAUGGAAAGACAAAAUCUAGUAACUCAUUACAUGUUUGGGUAACAGGAAUGACCAAACCAAUCCUGACUGCUGAGAAAAGAGAAGUUUUAGAGGGUGAAGUUGUAAAAUUACGUUGUGAGCUGCCAGAAGAAGUACCUCCUUUACAUUUCUUUUUCCGGAAGAUAAAGAUGAAUUCAACUCCUAAAGAAAAACAUGUAUUUGAGGCAUACAGGAAUUUUUCUGUAGUGGAAUUUUCUGUUGAAGAGGGGGAUAAUAUUUUGCAAUUUGACUGUUUUGGUAAGAGAAAUGUAAAACUUGAACUUGAAAGUUCAGAACCCAGCAACAGAACACUUGUUACUGUCAAGGAACCAUUUAUAAAGCCUUCUCUGAUCAUCAAGUCCUCAAGUAAUAUUACAGAAGGAGACAGAAUAGAGUUUGAAUGCUCAACUGUAGUAGCUCGAAUGCGUGACAUUGAAAUCAUACUUCAGAAAAACAAAACAAUACUGAAUAGUGUACGAGAUGAGAAACUUUUGAAAUAUUCUGCAGUUGCUACCCUAGAGGACAGUGGUGAAUACCUGUGUAAGGUGGAGCAAGGGAGAGCAUCUAAAACCACAAAACUGAAUGUUGUUGUGGCAGAGUUAUUCCCCAAGCCAAUAUUGUCUGCUUCUAUGAGCAAGCUCGAUGAAAAUAAAGAAUUAACUUUGAGUUGCAGCAUUAGUGGCUUUCGAAAAGCUAACUUCUCUAUAUUACGGAGAAAUUCAAAUGGAGAUAUCUGGUUGAAAAAUUCUAGAAACUUAACAAUGAGAGUUAAUGUGAAUGAUACUGGAUCCUAUAUCUGUAAGGCUGAAGUCAAAGGAAUAGUCAAGGAGAGCAAACCUGUAAGGAUAAGUGUUUAUGCUCCAGUCUCCAAGCCGACUCUUUCUGUUGUCAGUGGUUUACCGGAGGUGGUGCUGGGGAAACCUCUACAGUUAAUCUGUCGUUUAAUGACGGGAACGCCGCCAAUAACAUUCACAUUCUACAAAGGAAAUGAAGUUAAGAAAGUGGUAAUUAAUGACACAUAUGCUACAUUCUUGGAUGAAAAUAUUAGACAAAAUGACAAAAGAGGAUACAAAUGUGAUGCUAGAAAUAAUCACUCUAGCGGCAUGAAAACUAGUAAUAUUCUCAACAUCACAGUAAUAGUACCAAUCAGGAAUGCCAGCUUGGGCAGUAUUCCAUAUGGGGAAGUGGAAGAUGGCAGUGGGACUGCUUUUCUCUGCUCUGUGGAAGAAGGAUCUUGGCCAAUCCACUUCAGGAUUUUUAAAAAAACUGAUCACGAUACUCUUUUAUAUGAAAAAACUGAAAGCACAGACAGAAUCGUGUGGCACAAGGAAACAAUGAGCAGACAGGAUACAGGGACAUAUUACUGCAUGGUUUCUAAUCGAGCUAAGGUGAAUGUGAAAAGCCAUCCGAUAACCAUCAAUGUCAUCUUAGCGUCUUGGCAGAAAGGAGUCAUUGCUGCAUUUGUCCUAAUACUUAUCGCAGGAGCAAUAACUCUCACUGUAUGGUGGUUUUUAUGUAAGAAGAAAAAGGCUAAAGGAUCAUCCAUGGAGAUGUCUCGAUCUGCCUUGGCUACAAACUCAACAAAUGAAAAACUGGCAAGACAGCACAAUGAUGGAGACUACUAUUCUGGAUCAGGUUACAUUGAAGAUGGUGAAAACCACAUGAAAUCAACAGAUGAAAAUAAAGCUCCUGUACAGAAGGGGACUGAAACAGUUUAUAGUGAAAUCAGAAAAGCUAAUAAUGAUUCUAUGGAAAACAGGCAUUCUAGAAUACAAGGGCAUCCUGAUGCUACCUAGAAUACUCAUCUCAAACAUCAUCUGGGAGAAGAAAACAAGCCGAGAUGGAAGAUGUUGCAACUGUUUCAAAAGCUCUGCAGCACUUACUUAUGAGUUUGCCAGGCUCUUCUUUUCAAAGUUUAUUUCCUCAGGGGGAACAAUAGAGAUAUUCCUAAAGCAUUUAAUGGAAAAAAUUGAAAAAAAAAUCUCAUAGGGAAGUGGCUCUGGAAACCACUGACCUAGGUUCCCAUCUUUAAUUUCCCCUGCUAAUGCAAUUUUGUCUUUCUAGCCUCCCAAUUCAUCAUGCUCUGAGGAAAUAAAAGGGGAAACUACGGCUGAGAAAGUACAUUUCUGCAGUGCAGUAACUACUGUGAUGCUAAUAGAAUGUAGAAAUAUCUAAGCUUGCUUUAAACUAGCUAACUUGGUAAUCAGUAACAGUACUGUGGCAGAACAGAGCUCAGCACAGCCUGCCCAGCCAUGUAUGUACUUCGACAUGAUCUUGCAUCUUGCGCUGAACUCCCUGUGCUGCAGCAGCUGGACUGCUACCAGUCUUGGAGCCAGCUAAUUUAUAGCUCACUUGGAUGCUACACUGCAAUUAGGGCCUAACAGAAGAGUGAGCUCUGGGCUCUCUAAAAACUUGAAUAACUGUUCAGAGAUUCAGUACUUUACCAAGUGCUUCUCUCAGUAGAGACACAAAUAUUCUUUAUUCUUUGCUAAACUGCUUUUUCCCUCUAAAAGUUCUGAUGUUGUUGGUUAGUUUGCUGUGAUGGUUCUUCAAGGAAUGAUUGCUAAUCACACUUAUUUUGGAUGAUGCAAAAUAAACAUCUUGAGUGGGUGGAUACUACACCGAUGUCGGUGAGUUUGUAUCUGAAAGUUAUGUAUAAUGCUUAUUCCUGGGAUUUUAGGAGAGAUCUGAAGUUAUACUUGUGCCCAGCUUGUCCAGUAUGGAACUCCAUACCUAUUCCUCUUCUCUGUAGUAUGAUAAAUGAUUAUCAUGGAUCCAGUUCUGGACCUGGAUCUAAUCUCUGAAGCCCAUGUUUUUUUCAGUUGCAUUAGUUUAACAGAAAAACAAAAAGUACUGUCCUUUAACAUCCUUUAACAAGCUGGUCUCUGACACUGCAAUUGCUCUCCUUUUCUUACUACAGAUUAAAUUACUACAAGAUCUGGGCCACAGAUAUAUCAAAAAUAUUUUAAAAUAUGGGACAUUAGAUCAACAGACAUCUCCAGCGAAGACAAGGUCAAUGGGCCCAGGAAGUAAACAACUACACAAGGAGUCCAAGUGUCCUGUUAUGAGCAUGUCUUCUGGAUGCCAAACAAGCCUCAUUGUCUCAUUGGAAACAGUUGGGAAGUAAAUCUUGAAUCUGUUACUGAAGCAGAUUAAAACCCAGAUUAGAGGUCAAACAAUGUUAUUGAAAAACAACCAAAAAGCCACUUCAGAUUUCUACCUGUCACCAAGCUGAACUCAGCAAAUAUAAGAUGAGGACGGAUGGCAGAUAAAUUAUCCAACAAAAGCAUUUACUCUAGCAGCAUGGAAUGACUCAGAAAUUCAAAGACACUUCCUUUUUCCAACUGACUGGGAUUUGCCUUCAGAAGAGGAUUCCCAAGUGGCCAGGUGCACCAUGAAGCUGAGGCAGGUAGCAAAGCUCACGUCUCUUUUUCCCUAGAGGCUGGCUCCAGCCUUUGCUCAGGCUGUAUUCCUCUGUGGAAGAAGCCUCUGCUGAGCACCCAACUUCAGAUGCAAAACUUUUUCUCUUGAGGUCACACCUUUUAGGCCGUGUGUUGGCUAAGUUAGGUACAAACAGAGGGUGGAAAAAGCUUCAAAACUUCUCGUGAAUUGCUUACAGUUUAACACAGCUGAAAACAAGACAUUGGUCACAGUUUCAGUUGUAGCCUCUGUUCCUACAGGGAAAACCUGCUAUUAAGAAAACAACCAUUAUCUUAUCUUCAUACUCUGGAAACACUAACACCAGCUCUGUAUAAUGAUUCAAAGGUCUGCCUACUUACUAUGAGAGCUAUAAAAAGAAACCUAUCCUAGAUGAUUGAAUACACUUUUACAUGUAUUUAAAACAUUAUACUGUCUUUUAAACUUAAAAAAAUGACGUAAUAAUGGAUGGAGCAAUGAUCAUAAUUCAUUUUCACAAGUGUUGAAUUGGUCUUGAAAUGUAAAGAGAAAAACAGUAUGAAAGUUAUCUACACCUACUUUUGAAUUAGACUGCAAAACCUACUAACUACCGUAUGCCUGGUAUAAUGCCUAGUAAAAUGGGAAACCAAGCCCUGACUGUGAUACAGCUGUAGAUAAGAUAGUAAAGUAUUAAAAAAAUGAUGUUGUAUAUUAAAAUAUUUGGAGCUAGUUUGGAGCAAUUUGAAUUCUGCUCACAUAUUCCUCUGCAUGUUGGCUAGUAAAUAAAUUAACUUUGGCAUUAUCACCACAUAAAGUAUCAUAAAGUUGAACACUGGUAUGAAAUAAAGACACUCAGAAAGAUCUCAUUAACAGUUUUCAAAAGCAAGAACAAUGAUGUAAAGGGUAAAAGCAGUGACAAGGCUGUAAUAUUUUAUGGCACAAGAACAAAAACCUUUUGACAGAGGGAAUUAUCUUUUUUUUUUUUUUUCUGUCUGCUGCAAACUGGCAAAUAUGAAGUGUAAAUAAAACGACCUCUGACAUGG